CAGUCACACAGACCAGCCGCCCAGACAGGCCUCACACAAGUCAGGAUGAUGCCGGUAUUGCAGGUUCUGCUUCUGGAAGCCGACCUCCUGUAAGCCGCCCAUCACAGGGCUUGGGCCACUUACCCAGGAGGCCAACUAAGACACGGCGUCUUGGCUCUGAUUCCGCACCUCCAUCAUCCCCACCCAGGCGAAGACUUUCGGCAGUGUCACCCCAGCCACCACUGGCACUAUUGUCGAGUUCGCAGAGUGAUGAGGCCAGAUCACCUCAGUUAUCUGAGCACAACUUGAUGUCCGCCGAGGACCAGCAGGGACCAGAACAAGAGCCAUCCUUCACACUGCAACUUACAGCUGUUGAUCCAA